rnacentral:rRNA from 1 species
GACGAACGCUGGCGGCGUGCUUAACACAUGCAAGUCGAACGGAAAGGCCCUGCUUUUGUGGGGUGCUCGAGUGGCGAACGGGUGAGUAACACGUGAGUAACCUGCCCUUGACUUUGGGAUAACUUCAGGAAACUGGGGCUAAUACCGGAUAGGAGCUCCUGCUGCAUGGUGGGGGUUGGAAAGUUUCGGCGGUUGGGGAUGGACUCGCGGCUUAUCAGCUUGUUGGUGGGGUAGUGGCUUACCAAGGCUUUGACGGGUAGCCGGCCUGAGAGGGUGACCGGCCACAUUGGGACUGAGAUACGGCCCAGACUCCUACGGGAGGCAGCAGUGGGGAAUAUUGCGCAAUGGGCGGAAGCCUGAUGCAGCAACGCCGCGUGCGGGAUGACGGCCUUCGGGUUGUAAACCGCUUUCACCUGUGACGAAGCGUGAGUGACGGUAAUGGGUAAAGAAGCACCGGCUAACUACGUG